GAUGAACGCUGGCUACAGGCUUAACACAUGCAAGUCGAGGGGAAACGACGGGGAAGCUUGCUUCCCCGGGCGUCGACCGGCGCACGGGUGAGUAACGCGUAUCCAACCUGCCUCUGACUGAGGGAUAACCCGCCGAAAGUCGGCCUAAUACCUCAUGGCAUCGUCUGCGGGCAUCCAACGACGAUUAAAGAUUUCAUCGGUCAGAGAUGGGGAUGCGUCUGAUUAGCUUGUUGGCGGGGUAACGGCCCACCAAGGCGACGAUCAGUAGGGGUUCUGAGAGGAAGGUCCCCCACAUUGGAACUGAGACACGGUCCAAACUCCUACGGGAGGCAGCAGUGAGGAAUAUUGGUCAAUGGGCGAGAGCCUGAACCAGCCAAGUAGCGUGCAGGAUGACGGCCCUAUGGGUUGUAAACUGCUUUUAUGCGGGGAUAAAGUGAGGGACGUGUCCUUCAUUGCAGGUACCGCAUGAAUAAGGACCGGCUAAUUCCGUG
rnacentral:rRNA from 1 species